rnacentral:rRNA from 1 species
UGUGAAGCGCAACACACAUGCACAUUCACAACUAGAACGCACAUUGCGCCCAUAG